UACGUAGGGUGCGAGCGUUGUCCGGAAUUAUUGGGCGUAAAGAGCUCGUAGGCGGUCUGUCGCGUCGAUCGUGAAAACUUGGGGCUUAACCCUGAGCUUGCGGUCGAUACGGGCAUGACUGGAGUUCGGCAGGGGAGACUGGAAUUCCUGGUGUAGCGGUGAAAUGCGCAGAUAUCAGGAGGAACACCGAUGGCGAAGGCAGCCCCCUGGGUCAAGACUGACGCUCAUGCACGAAAGCGUGGGGAGCAAACAGG
rnacentral:rRNA from 1 species